rnacentral:rRNA from 1 species
GUAGGGAAUUUUGCGCAAUGGGGGAAACCCUGACGCAGCAACGCCGCGUGACCGAUGACGCCCUUCGGGGUGUAAAGGUCUGUCAGUAGGGACGAAUUUUGACGGUACCUACAGAGGAAGCACCGGCUAACUCCGUGCCAGCAGCCGCGGUAAUACGGGGGGUGCAAGCGUUGUCCGGAAUCAUUGGGCGUAAAGAGUUCGUAGGCGGCAUGUCAAGUCUGGUGUUAAAUCCUGAGGCUCAACUUCAGUUCAGCACUGGAUACUGGCAAGCUAGAAUGCGGUAGAGGUAAAGGGAAUUCCUGGUGUAGCGGUGAAAUGCGUAGAUAUCAGGAAGAACACCGGUGGCGUAAGCGCUUUACUGGGCCGUUAUUGACGCUGAGGAACGAAAGCCGGGGGAGCGAAUGGGA